rnacentral:rRNA from 1 species
ACUCAGGCAAUAUCAACGAGCCGGAGGAAAAAGGAAAAAUAAACAAUGAUUUCCCUAGUAACGGCGAGUGAAGAGGAAAAGAGCUCAAAGUUGGAAACUGUUUGGCUUAGCUAAACCGUAUUGUAAACUGUAGAAACAUUUUCCUGGCACGCCGGAUUAAUAAGUCCUUUGGAACAAGGCAUCAUGGAGGGUGAGAAUCCCGUCUUUGAUCCGAGUAGUUGUCUUUUGUGAUAUGUUUUCAAAGAGUCAGGUUGUUUGGGAAUGCAGCCUAAAUUGGGUGGUAAAUCUCACCUAAAGCUAAAUAUUUGCGAGAGACCGAUAGCGAACAAGUACCGUGAGGGAAAGAUGAAAAGAACUUUGAAAAGAGAGUUAAACAGUAUGUGAAAUUGUUAAAAGGGAACCGUUUGGAGCCAGACUGGUUUGACUGUAAUCAACCUAGAAUUCGUUCUGGGUGCACUUGCAGUCUAUACCUGCCAACAACAGUUUGAUUUGGAGGAAAAAAUUAGUAGGAAUGUAGCCUCUCGAGGUGUUAUAGCCUACUAUCAUACUCUGGAUUGGACUGAGGAACGCAGCGAAUGCCUUUAGGCAAGAUUGCUGGGUGCUUUCGCUAAUAAAUGUUAGAAUUUCUGCUUCGGGUGGUGCUAAUGUUUAAAGGAGGAACACAUCUAGUAUAUUUUUUAUUCGCUUAGGUUGUUGGCUUAAUGACUCUAAAUGACCCGUCUUGAAACACGGACCAAGGAGUCCACCAUAAGUGCAAGUAUUUGAGUGACAAACUCAUAUGCGUAAGGAAACUGAUUGAUACGAAAUCUUUUGAUGGCAGUAUCACCCGGCGUUGACGUUUUAUACUGAACUGACCGAGGUAAAGCACUUAUGAUGGGACCCGAAAGAUGGUGAACUAUGCCUGAAUAGGGUGAAGCCAGAGGAAACUCUGGUGGAGGCUCGUAGCGAUUCUGACGUGCAAAUCGAUCGUCAAAUUUGGGUAUAGGGGCGAAAGACUAAUCGAACCAUCUAGUAGCUGGGUUCCUGCGGAGUCU